CAUAUACUCCCUCCGUCCCAAAAUACUUGUCCUAGAGAUGAAUGUAUCUAGACUUAUUUUAGUUAUAGAUACAUCCAUUAUACCAAUUUUUUGGACAAGUAUUUUCGGACGGAGGGAGUAUAAC
rfam:Hordeum vulgare subsp. vulgare, WGS project CAJW01000000 data, contig: morex_contig_228876